rnacentral:ncRNA from 2 species
UACCUUUGCAAGCGAACUGGUUCCGAACAGUCGUAUCGAUUGUCCGGAUUAAAAGGGAAUCGGGUGAAAAUCCCGGACAGUCCCGCUGCUGUGAAGCUCUGCCCAACUUUCCGAUAAAAUCUUUCGCCACUGACAGACAAUACAAGCGCCGUCGGGAAGGCAUCGGGAAGGGAGUCAGUCAGAAGACCUGCCAUUUCAUUUCAAAGGCU